rnacentral:lncRNA from 1 species
CCAAAGCUCCGUGGCGGUGCUGAACUUUAGGGCAGCCACUAGCCACGGACUUAAGCGGCAAUUGAGCUCCUCAAAGUGGGUAGGGAGUCAUAACCACUGCCCACUCACAUCCAGCCAGCACAUCGCAGUUUCCGAAGUACCAAACACAUUCCACUCCACCUCCCUUCUGCAGGAAAGGGUCCUGAAGCUCUCUAAGAUGGCUUUGACAUGGGUCCACAAAUUCUUUGACAUUCCUUUCUUCAAGAGGUGGAGCCUAAUUCCCCUCCCUUUGAGUGUGGACUGAACUUAGUGACUCAUUUCUAAUGAAUAGAACAAAGCAGAAGCAACAGUGUAAGGCUUCCAAGACCGGGUCAUAAGAGGCACUGUUUGUGGCUUCCUCCUUGCCCUCUCUUCUGUCUCACUGUGGGGAAAGCCAACUGCCAUAUCAUGAGAAAACUCAAGCAGCAGCUCUAGGGUUAGCCCUACAUGGUGAGGAACUGAGACCUCCUACCCACAGCCAUGUGCAUGAGCAGUAUUGGAAUGGAUCCUCCAGCCCCAGUCAAGCCUUCAGAUGACUGCAGCCCUAGCCGACAACUUGACUGCAACCUCAUGAGCGACCCUGAGACAAGAACAGCCCAGCUUAGCCCCUCUCAAAUUUCUGACCCACAGAACCUAAGAGAUAAUGAAUAUUUGUCAUUUUAAGCUGCAAAUUUUGGAUAAUUUGUCACACAACAAUAGAUAACCAAUACACUGUCUUUGG